rnacentral:rRNA from 1 species
GAUGAACGCUGGCGGCGUGCCUAAUACAUGCAAGUCGAGCGAACGGACGAGGAGCUUGCUCCUCUGACGUUAGCGGCGGACGGGUGAGUAACACGUGGAUAACCUACCUAUAAGACUGGGAUAACUUCGGGAGACCGGAGCUAAUACCGGAUAAUAUAUUGAACCGCAUGGUUCAAUAGUGAAAGACGGUUUUGCUGUCACUUAUAGAUGGAUCCGCGCCGCAUUAGCUAGUUGGUAAGGUAACGGCUUACCAAGGCAACGAUGCGUAGCCGACCUGAGAGGGUGAUCGGCCACACUGGAACUGAGACACGGUCCAGACUCCUACGGGAGGCAGCAGUAGGGAAUCUUCCGCAAUGGGCGAAAGCCUGACGGAGCAACGCCGCGUGAGUGAUGAAGGUCUUCGGAUCGUAAAACUCUGUUAUUAGGGAAGAACAAAUGUGUAAGUAACUAUGCACGUCUUGACGGUACCUAAUCAGAAAGCCACGGCUAACUACGUG